UACGAGGGGGGCAAGCGUUGUUCGGAAUUAUUGGGCGUAAAGGGUGCGUAGGCGGUUUGAUAAGUCAUCUGUGAAAUCUCUGGGCUCAACCCAGAGUCUGCAGGCGAAACUGUCGGGCUUGAGUAUGGGAGAGGUGAGUGGAAUUUCCGGUGUAGCGGUGAAAUGCGUAGAUAUCGGAAGGAACACCUGUGGCGAAGGCGGCU
rnacentral:rRNA from 1 species